GAUGAACGCUGGCGGCGUGCCUAAUACAUGCAAGUCGAGCGAACGGACGAGAAGCUUGCUUCUCUGAUGUUAGCGGCGGACGGGUGAGUAACACGUGGAUAACCUACCUAUAAGACUGGGAUAACUUCGGGAAACCGUAGCUAAUACCGGAUAAUAUUUUGAACCGCAUGGUUCAAAAGUGAAAGACGUUCUUGCUGUCACUUAUAGAUGGAUCCGCGCUGCAUUAGCUAGUUGGUAAGGUAACGGCUUACCAAGGCAACGAUGCAUAGCCGACCUGAGGGGGUGAUCAGCCACACUGGAACUGAGACACGGUCCAGACUCCUACGGGAGGCAGCAGUAGGGAAUCUUCCGCAAUGGGCGAAAGCCUGACGGAGCAACGCCGCGUGAGUGAUGAAGGUCUUCGGAUCGUAAAACUCUGUUAUUAGGGAAGAACAUAUGUGUAAGUAACUGUGCACAUCUUGACGGUACCUAAUCAGAAAGCCACGGCUAACUACGUG
rnacentral:rRNA from 1 species